rnacentral:rRNA from 1 species
AGAGUUUGAUCAUGGCUCAGGAUGAACGCUAGCUACAGGCUUAACACAUGCAAGUCGAGGGGCAGCAUGUUGGUUGCUUGCAACCAAUGAUGGCGACCGGCGCACGGGUGAGUAACGCGUAUCCAACCUACCCUUGUCCAUCGGAUAACCCGUCGAAAGGCGGCCUAACACGAUAUGCGGUUCACAGCAGGCAUCUAAGGUGAACGAAAUGUGAAGGAGAAGGAUGGGGAUGCGUCUGAUUAGCUUGUUGGCGGGUAACGCCACAAGGCUACGAUCAGUAGGGUUCUGAGAGGAACGGUCCCCANAUUGGAACUGAGACACGGUCCAAACUCCGUACGGGAGCA